rnacentral:rRNA from 1 species
UACGUAGGUGGCAAGCGUUGUCCGGAAUUAUUGGGCGUAAAGCGCGCGUAGGCGGCCUUUUAAGUCUGAUGUGAAAGCCCACGGCUCAACCGUGGAAGGUCAUUGGAAACUGAAAGGCUUGAGUACAGAAGAGGAAAGCGGAAUUCCACGUGUAGCGGUGAAAUGCGUAGAGAUGUGGAGGAACACCAGUGGCGAAGGCGGCUUUCUGGUCUGUAACUGACGCUGAGGCGCGAAAGCGUGGGGAGCAAACAGG